rnacentral:misc_RNA from 1 species
GAAGUGCGAUAAGCAAUGCGAAUUGCAGAACCGUGAGUCAUCAGAUUUUUGAACGUAACUGGCUCCUUCGGGUUAUCCUGGAGGAAUGCUUCUUUCAGUGUUAUAUUUCUCAUCACCCAAAGCAUAAUGUGAUAGAUGCCCUUCUAUUACUAAGCUUGAAAGCACUCUACGCUUUGCAGUGGUUUCGGCCACACUCAAUGCAGCAGUCACGUUCUACAACGUGAACUCAUUGAGAGUAAAGGUAGCGCAGUUUACUGCCAGUGCUUAGAAACUCAAUUUCUUAUGAUCUGAGAUGAAGUAGGACCACCCGCUGAACUUAA